GACGAACGCUGGCGGCGUGCUUAACACAUGCAAGUCGAACGGAAAGGCCCUGCUUUUGUGGGGUGCUCGAGUGGCGAACGGGUGAGUAACACGUGAGUAACCUGCCCUUUACUUUGGGAUAACUCCAGGAAACAGGGGCUAAUACAGGGUAGGAGAUCCUGCUGCAUGGGGGGGGUUGGAAAGUUUCGGCGGUGGGGGCUGGACUCGCGGCUUAUCAGCUUGUUGGGGGGGUAGUGGCUUACCAAGGCUUUGACUGGUAGCCGGCCUGAGAGGGUGACCGGCCACAUUGGGACUGAGAGACGGCCCAGACUCCUACGGGCGGCAGCAGUGGGGAAUAUUGCACAAUGGGCGGAAGCCUGAUGCAGCAACGCCGCGUGCGGGAUGACGUCCUUCGGGUUGUAAACCGCUUUCGCCUGUGACGAAGCGUGAGUGACGGUAAUGGGUAAAGAAGCACCGGCUAACUACGUG
rnacentral:rRNA from 1 species